GAUGAAGAACGCAGCGAAAUGCGAUAAGUAGUGUGAAUUGCAGAAUUCCGUGAAUCAUCGAAUCUUUGAACGCACAUUGCGCCUUCUGGUAUUCCGGAAGGCAUGCCUGUUCGAGAGUCAUUAACAACCGUUUCGAUCCCUUUCUUUCAGAAAUUACAAAGAGGAAAAGGGUUUGGUUAUGGUGGAGGAGGGAAAGGGAGCGUUUAGCCUGUAAAAAAAGAGGCUGUGUUCCGCCUCCCCCCCAAAAUUGUACAGGCGGUCGUGUGCGCCCACGCAUCGAGGUGUUGUAAAGGCUGCCACGGCACUUUUCACCUGUGCAGUGCGAGAUUGGCCAGCCGGUUUAAAAACCCCUCCAAACAAUCAAAGGUUGACCUCGGAUCAGGUAGGGAUACCCGCUGAACUUAAGCAUAUCAAUAAGCGGAGGA
rnacentral:misc_RNA from 1 species